UAUAGAAAAGAUGGGUAACUCUGCUGCUGUGGUUCUUUGCAUUAUUUCUAGGGGAAUUCCAUUCCAAGAGCCAGAAAAUCAUUUAAUGAAAGACACAAUAGGAGUGGUUGCUCUACUUGGAAGAGUUCGACCUCAUUGCAGCCAGCUGAGCAGGAUACUGUCAGAAUACUUGGGUGCAGAUCAAAUGCUUGCUGUUGUCGUUAGAUCUUUCGAAACUGUUGUUCUUCUAGAAAGGUAUAAACAAACUGGAGAAGUUGAUCGCAGCCAUGUUAUUCAUGAAGAAGCAGCCAUUCUUGGAAAAUCUAUAAAUGGUCGAUUUCUUGUUAUAUACUUUGACAAUAUAAGGUGACAUCCAAAGCUUCUUAACUACAAUUAAUUUAUUGACACAAGAUAAUCUCUCCUUUCUUAUCAAGUACAAAGUUGGAUCAUCUUAGAAUAUGAAGAUUUACUCAGAGGACUAAUAUUCCUUAUUGUUUGGCAGUCCAUUCAGAGAUCUCUACAAAUUUUUAUUCUCCAAAUAUGAAUGUUGUCAAUGAGAACUUCCUCCCUCUGCUCAAACGCCUUGAUGA